rnacentral:rRNA from 1 species
GAGACAGCAGCCGCCGCGGGAAUACGAAGGGUGCAAGCGUUACUCGGAAUUACUGGGCGUAAAGCGUGCGUAGGUGGUGGUUUAAGUCCGUUGUGAAAGCCCUGGGCUCAACCUGGGAAUUGCAGUGGAUACUGGGUCACUAGAGUGUGGUAGAGGAUAGUGGAAUUUCCGGUGUAGCAGUGAAAUGCGUAGAAAUCGGAAGGAACAUCUGUGGCGAAGGCGACUAUCUGGGCCAACACUGACACUGAGGCACGAAAGCGUGGGGAGCAAGCAGGAUUAGAUACCCCGGUAGUCCCUGUCUCUUAUAC